rnacentral:rRNA from 1 species
UUUAUUGGAGAGUUUGAUCCUGGCUCAGGAUGAACGCUGGCGGCGUGCCUAAUACAUGCAAGUCGAGCGAAUGGAUUAAGAGCUUGCUCUUAUGAAGUUAGCGGCGGACGGGUGAGUAACACGUGGGUAACCUGCCCAUAAGACUGGGAUAACUCCGGGAAACCGGGGCUAAUACCGGAUAAUAUUUUGAACUGCAUGGUUCGAAAUUGAAAGGCGGCUUCGGC